rnacentral:rRNA from 1 species
ACGAACGCUGGCGGCGUGCUUAACACAUGCAAGUCGAACGAGGUCCAAGCAGUCGCAAGACUGCGGACGAUCUAGUGGCGAGCGGGUGCGUAACACGUGAGGAACUUGUCCCGGUCUCUGGAAUAACAAGUGGAAACACUUGCUAAUACCGGAUGCCGUCGGUCCAUCGCAUGGUGGACUGACGAAAGGGUUACCGGAUCGGGAGAGCCUCGCGGCCUAUCAGCUUGUUGGUGAGGUAAUGGCUCACCAAGGCAUCGACGGGUAGCUGGUCUGAGAGGAUGAUCAGCCACACUGGGACUGAGACACGGCCCAGACUCCUACGGGAGGCAGCAGUGGGGAAUCUUGCACAAUGGGCGAAAGCCUGAUGCAGCAACGCCGCGUGCGGGAAGAAGGCCUUAGGGUUGUAAACCGCUUUCAGCAGGGAAGAAAAUGACGGUACCUGUAGAAGAAGCACCGGCUAACUCCGU